UAGCCUCAAUUACUCAAGGAUCUCCAAGCUGCAUGCCUCCAAUAAUGUUGCCGGUGUCAUGGCUCUCCACGGUGCUGAAAUUGUUGAGAGGAAUGUCCUGAAGAAACUCAGGUUGCAGUCAUGGGCCACACUAACUUAUGUCGGUUUCCAUGUAAGAAUUAUUACGUAUGGAUUGAACCAGUAAAUAGCCUGAAUCAGGGAAAAGGGCCAAAGUUGUAUUCCUGAAUCAGGCUCACAAUGAUCUUGCUUGCGUGGAAGGAACAUUCAUUCCUGCAAGAAUCGAUCGACUGCCAAGGAGGGUGAUGGAUUGACUUGCAACCAGUCCACGGAUUAUCUGAAGCCAUGCAAGGAAGAAGAAGCAGAAACACUGCCCAGGCUAGAAGAAGCGUAGCCUGCAGCUAGGUGGUACUAUCUGAAGCCCAUCAUCAGCCUUGUGAUGCCGCUCAGAAUAAAAUUGCUUCGAUGAGUACACCAUUCACAUUCACACCGUGCGUGCGAUGAAACAACCAGACUACAUCUUCUGAAGAAAUGAACACUUGUCAUGCUGUUAACUGAAGAAAUCGACACCCGGCGGUUGGCGCG